rnacentral:rRNA from 1 species
ACGGUGAGGGAUGAAAGCUGGGGGAGCAAACCGGAUUAGAUACCCGGGUAGUCCCAGCUGUAAACUAUGCAAACUCAGUGAUGCAUUGGCUUGAUGCCAAUGCAGUGCUGCAGGGAAGCCGUUAAGUUUGCCGCCUGGGAAGUACGUACGCAAGUGUGAAACUUAAAGGAAUUGGCGGGGGAGCACCACAAGGGGUGAAGCCUGCGGUUCAAUUGGAGUCAACGCCU